rnacentral:lncRNA from 1 species
UGCACACAUUCGAAUUUCUGUUCUACAAUAUCGGAUUACAAUCUGUUUGUGUUCCUUAAAAGCUCGUUUUGCUCCUGCUGCUGUUGCUGCUGCUGUUGUUUUUCAAUCCAGUGACAAGACCCAGAGAAGAAUUGUUCAAGCGCAAACUCUUGCCAAUAUUCUUGCUAAGAGGAUGGAACAGGAUAAAGUGACCAAACCACCAUGGUAAUAUAAUGGAAAUGAUGACCAAGAUCAGAACAUAUUUGAUAAAUGAUGAAUGAUAUGAUGAAGAAGGGUGCUUUGGCAGAUUGAAUUGUUGGUCUCAAUGAUUUCUUCACUCUCUCAUAGUGAUGUCAUGUCUCUACACUCUUGCCAUGGCUUCAUGGUUGGCAAAUAAUAGUUCCUCACACUUUGACUUUGGGCUUGACAUAUGACUUGAUUUGUUCAAUGGGAUGUCAGUGGAUAUGAUGCAAUCAGAGAUUUGGAAUGUCCAUGGAAGUGAUCCACCAUGAUAAGAACAUGUCACCGGUAGUCACUGCCUCUGAAUAUAGGUUCUGGAAUGAGACCUGUGGAGCAGAUUCACAACCUGCAACCAAGCCCAGAAGAAAUAUAGCCUGAAGCAGAGCCUCUGAGUCAGGCCCAGCCUAGAUCAGCCAAACUGCAAUUGAAACUCCAAAUGUCCUAUAGAUUCUGGAGUGUGAGCAUAAAUACACACAUGCCACUGAGUUUUGGGGCAGUUUGUUAUGCAAUAUUGUUGUAGCUGUCUUUGACUCUCACAGAAGCUUCAGCUCCUUUGACGGUCUGUGUUCAUCAGGACUGAAUCUAUUUAAGCCUUUGUGAUGAUUAGCCCAGCCUGGAUAAUGGAGAACAAGCCUUCUACAAAGCGGUUGAUGCUGGUUCUUCUUGAGAAGUUGAUUUGCUCCUGAUUGUUCUUUUCCUGAAAGUCAUAGUGAUGGACGACAACUCUUACCAUUGUCUUCAGCAUUGCUCAAACAUUUCUACAUUUCCAAAUUACAUGCUUAAACUGCUAUUGUUUUCUU